rnacentral:rRNA from 1 species
GCGAGUGAGCGGCAACAGCUCAAAUUUGAAAGCUGGCCUUCGGGUCCGCAUUGUAAUUUGUAGAGGAUGCUUUGGGGCAGCCGCCUGUCUAAGUUCCUUGGAACAGGACGUCAUAGAGGGUGAGAAUCCCGUAUGUGACAGGACAUGGCACCCUAUGUAAAGCUCCUUCGACGAGUCGAGUUGUUUGGGAAUGCAGCUCUAAAUGGGAGGUAAAUUUCUUCUAAAGCUAAAUACCGGCGAGAGACCGAUAGCGCACAAGUAGAGUGAUCGAAAGAUGAAAAGCACUUUGGAAAGAGAGUUAAAAAGCACGUGAAAUUGUUGAAAGGGAAGCGCUUGCAAUCAGACUUGUUUUGACUGUUCGGCCGGUCUUCUGACCGGUUUACUCAGUCUGGACAGGCCAGCAUCAGUUUUGGCGGCCGGAUAAAGGCCUAGGGAAUGUGGCUCUCGCUUCGGCGGGAGUGUUAUAGCCCUGGGUGUAAUACGGCCAGCCGGGACUGAGGUCCGCGCUUCGGCUAGGAUGCUGGCGUAAUGGUUGUAAGCGACCC